GACAGAGGGUGCAAGCGUUGUUCGGAAUUACUGGGCGUAAAGGGCGUGUAGGCGGUAGGGUGUGUCUGACGUGAAAGCCCUCGGCUCAACCGAGGAAAUGCGUCGGAAACUACCUUGCUGGAGUGCGAGAGAGGGUGGCGGAAUUCCUGGUGUAGAGGUGAAAUUCGUAGAUACCAGGAGGAACACCAGAGGCGAAGGCGGCCACCUGGCUCGUAACUGACGCUGAGACGCGAAAGCGUGGGGAGCAAACAGG
rnacentral:rRNA from 1 species